GGUAUACAUAGCCCACAGGAGACAUCAGCCAUCCAGGGAGGUUACUUUGCAGAUGGGCCAAGCUCUUCCAAAGCCUGAUUUGGAAGCACAGUGCUUCAGUUACUCAGGGUAUAAGAGAAGAUGUGGUCCAUUGUGUCGGGGAAGGCAUGUGGUGGCAGAGGUGUGGUGAAGGCUGAUCACCUUGUGUCCGCUGUCAGAAACCCGGGGGAGGCUUGUCUGGCACAUUAAAUUAGAAGAAAAAAAUGCACACACAAUUUCAGAAAUAUUUUUGCUGCUGGACUCCCAACUGAACAUCUAAUAUUUCAGUGUGCGAAGAGGAAGUAUGGCCUGGGAGAGCUGUGCUAGGAACAGAUGGGGACCAAGAGAUUCUGCAACACUGGUGCAUCGACCCAAAGCUACACAGCUGCUUGAGCUUCUGCUCACACCUCAGCAGGCCCAUGUGAGGAACAGCAGCCAGAGAGACAGCCCCCACACAAAGCGUAAAGAGUGCAGCUUCCCGAGAGAAGAGGGACCAGCAAGAGGGGCCGAGGCUGUCUGCACUGAACUCUGCAUUCCCUUCCCAGUAAGAAGUCAUGCAAAAUCCAAGCUUGCGUCUCACAAUGGAGUGCUCUGUUAUCCAGUAUGGUAGCUGCAAACGUAAUGCAGCUAUUAAAUUUUUUGCCAACAUCAAAUACAUUUCCAAGGACAGCUCCACGGGACAAGACAGAGCAGCUUUGGACUGCUCUGUGGUUGUUGGAGAGGCAGAUUGCAUUGGAGCCAGUUAGAAAAGCAAGUCCAGCUGCAGAACUUGCAUGGGGGCAAGACCUUUGAGUGAGGACCCAGGGCACCUAAAAGUCUGUGUCCCGCUGGCUGCUCAGUUCCCUGAAGUAACUGUGAGAGAGCGUUAACCUCUGAGCUUAUGGGGGACUCUGAACAAUUUCUCUUCACUUCCCUUCACACUGGCACGUGUGUGCAUGUGUGUGUACAUGCGUGCAUGCAUGUGUGUGUUUCCCCAUCCAUCCUUCCACCCAUCUACCCACCCAUGUGCCUACUUAUACCUGUGGAAGCAUCAUUGUGCACUUUGCCAUGAUGAACAUGGAGAGGUCAUAACACAAGCUUGGGUGUUGGGCCUCAGUGUUCACUUUGUUUGAGUUGGGGUCCCUUGCUCACUGGCCCAGGAGCUGACCUCACCAUGGUAGCACUGCAAUUCCAGAUGCCUGUGUUGCAUCAGGAUCACUUGGAUUCUGGGGAUUCAGACUCCGGUUCUCACUGUUGGGAGGCAAGAGCUUUAUCCACUGAGUCAUCUCCC
rnacentral:lncRNA from 1 species